CAUCAAGAGAAAAACCCAAAGCAUUAACAAAGAAACAAAACAGCUGUGCUGUGCGUAUGGAUGAAAAUGUGUUGACUGGAAGGCAAGAUAUGAUUGAUCUUCAGAAUGGAGCAGGAGACAGGUCUUUGUCUAAUACUUUACAGUUACCAGUAAUAUCUCACUGCUCAGCCUCAGAGGAGGACCUCAGGGAUGAAUGUAAUGCUGAAACCCUUGGAAUAAGCUCUCCUUCCUCUGUUGACAAGCUUGAUCAGACUAACCAUACUAACAUGGACUCUCUUACCAUAAAUCUAGAUCAAACCAAGCAAGCUCUUGAGGGCAGGUGCAGGAAAACAUAUGUUGUUUCAUCUUCACAUAAAUCCCCCAUUAAGAAAAAAACUGACAGUGGAGCUUCCAGCGACAUUUCUGAACAUGAUCUUUUUACUAAUGAAAUGGAUAAUGUUUCAUCUGUCAUUAACAGAAGCAUGUUUGUCAUGGAAAAAUAUAAUGUGACUUCAGAUGGUUUUAGUGGACACACAAAAAACCUUCAGUUCACAGAGGAGAGGCCUCCCUGGGAGACCCUUGAUGGUUACACUGAAACACUCUCAGAUGAAAGCUCUGCCCAUAGCCCUCAACCAGAGACCCGCAGUCAAACUAUGAACAUUUACCAGGACCAGGACCAGGACUCAGACUUGAGGCACCAAGCUCCAGAAGAAGGCAGGGUUAUGAAGAGUCUAACAAAUACAGAGCAUAACUCUGAUUUCGAGAGAACACGAAGAAGAGCAGCACCAGUCUCCUACAAAGAACCAGCCCUCAACUGCAAGAUGAGGCGUGGGGACAAAUACUCUGAUACAAAAUUCUUAAACUCUCCGGUG
rnacentral:lncRNA from 1 species